AUUGAACGCUGGCGGCAGGCCUAACACAUGCAAGUCGAACGGAGUGGCGGACGGGUGAGUAAUGCCUAGGAAUCUGCCUGGUAGCGGGGGAUAACGCCCGGAAACGGGCGCUAAUACCGCAUACCAUCCGAUGAGCCUAGGUGGGAUUAGCUAGUUGGUGGGGUAAAGGCUUACCAAGGCGACGAUCCCUAACUGGUCUGAGAGGAUGAUCAGUCACACUGGAACUGAGCAACGGUCCAGACUCCUACGGGAGGCAGCAGUGGGGAAUAUUGGACAAUGGGCGAAAGCCUGAUCCAGCCAUGCCGCGUGUGUGAAGAAGGUCUUCGGAUUGUAAAGCACUUUCAGUUGGGAGGCGUUACCAGCAGAAUAAGCACCGGCUAACUUCGUGCCAGCCGCCGCGGUAAUUC
rnacentral:rRNA from 1 species